UAACUCUAGUGUCUCCUCAUUCUCAGAUAAAUCUUCCCUCUUUUACUAAAGAUUUCCGUGGGGAGACACAAUACAAUGAGUUUCAUCUCAUUUUUCCAACUCUAUGUUCGCACGGAGU
rfam:Schistosoma rodhaini strain Burundi genome assembly, scaffold: SROB_scaffold0011854